rnacentral:rRNA from 1 species
CCUACGGGAGGCAGCAGUGGGGGAUAUUGCACAAUGGGGGGAACCCUGAUGCAGCGACGCCGCGUGGGUGAAGGAGUGCUUCGGCAUGUAAAGCCCUAUCGGCAGGGAAGAAGCAAGACGGUACCUGACUAAGAAGCCCCGGCUAACUACGUGCCAGCAGCCGCGGUAAUACGUAGGGGGCGAGCGUUAUCCGGAUUCACUGGGUGUAAAGGGAGCGUAGACGGCCAAGCAAGCCAGGGGUGAAAGCCCGGGGCCCAACCCCGGGACUGCCCUUGGAAAUGCAUGGCGGGAGUGCGGGAGGGGCAGGCGGAAUUCCUGGUGUAGCGGUGAAAUGCGUAGAUAGCAGGAGGAACACCGGCGGCGAAGGCGGCCUGCUGGACCGCGACUGACGUUGAGGCUCGAAAGCGUGGGGAGCGAACAGGAUUAGAUACCCCGGUAGUC